CCUACGGGUGGCAGCAGUGGGGAAUAUUGGGCAAUGGGCGCAAGCCUGACCCAGCAACGCCGCGUGAAGGAAGAAGGAUUUCGGGUUGUAAACUUCUUUUGUCAGGGAAGAGUAGAAGACGGUAACUGAAGAACAAGCCACGGCCAACUACGUUCCAGCAGCCGGUGUAAUACGUAGGUGGCAAGCGGUGUACGAAUUUACUGGGUGUAAAGGGCGUGUAGCCGGGUUGACAAGUCAGAUGUGAAAUCCUGCGGCUUAACCGCAGAACUGCAUUUGAAACUGUUGAUCUUGAGUACUGGAGAGGCAGACGGAAUUCCUAGUGUAGCGGUGAAAUGCGUAGAUAUUAGGAGGAACACCAGUGGCGAAGGCGGUCUGCUGGACAGCAACUGACGGUGAGGCGCGAAAGCGUGGGGAGCAAACAGGAUUAGAUACCCGGGUAGUC
rnacentral:rRNA from 1 species